AAUCCAUAGGUUAAUGAGGCGAACCGGGGGAACUGAAACAUCUAAGUACCCCGAGGAAAAGAAAUCAACCGAGAUUCCCCCAGUAGCGGCGAGCGAACGGGGAGGAGCCCAGAGCCUGAAUCAGCAUGUGUGUUAGUGGAAGCGUCUGGAAAGGCGCGCGAUACAGGGUGACAGCCCCGUACACAAAAGCGCAUGUGCUGUGAGCUCGAUGAGUAGGGCGGGACACGUGGUAUCCUGUCUGAAUAUGGGGGGACCAUCCUCCAAGGCUAAAUACUCCUGACUGACCGAUAGUGAACCAGUACCGUGAGGGAAAGGCGAAAAGAACCCCGGCGAGGGGAGUGAAAAAGAACCUGAAACCGUGUACGUACAAGCAGUGGGAGCACCCUUUGGGUGUGACUGCGUACCUUUUGUAUAAUGGGUCAGCGACUUAUAUUCUGUAGCAAGGUUAACCGAAUAGGGGAGCCGGAGGGAAACCGAGUCUUAAUUGGGCGUUAAGUUGCAGGGUAUAGACCCGAAACCCGGUGAUCUAGCCAUGGGCAGGUUGAAGGUUGGGUAACACUAACUGGAGGACCGAACCGACUAAUGUUGAAAAAUUAGCGGAUGACCUGUGGCUGGGGGUGAAAGGCCAAUCAAACCGGGAGAUAGCUGGUUCUCCCCGAAAGCUAUUUAGGUAGCGCCUCGUGAAUUCAUCUCCGGGGGUAGAGCACUGUUUCGGCUAGGGGGCCAUCCCGGCUUACCAACCCGAUGCAAACUGCGAAUACCGGAGAAUGUUAUCACGGGAGACACACGGCGGGUGCUAACGUCCGUCGUGAAGAGGGAAACAACCCAGACCGCCAGCUAAGGUCCCAAAGUCAUGGUUAAGUGGGAAACGAUGUGGGAAGGCCCAGACAGCCAGGAUGUUGGCUUAGAAGCAGCCAUCAUUUAAAGAAAGCGUAAUAGCUCACUGGUCGAGUCGGCCUGCGCGGAAGAUGUAACGGGGCUAAACCAUGCACCGAAGCUGCGGCAGCGACGCUUAUGCGUUGUUGGGUAGGGGAGCGUUCUGUAAGCCUGCGAAGGUGGCCUGUGAGGGUUGCUGGAGGUAUCAGAAGUGCGAAUGCUGACAUAAGUAACGAUAAAGCGGGUGAAAAGCCCGCUCGCCGGAAGACCAAGGGUUCCUGUCCAACGUUAAUCGGGGCAGGGUGAGUCGACCCCUAAGGCGAGGCCGAAAGGCGUAGUCGAUGGGAAACGGGUUAAUAUUCCCGUACUUGGUGUUACUGCGAAGGGGGGACGGAGAAGGCUAUGUUGGCCGGGCGACGGUUGUCCCGGUUUAAGCGUGUAGGCUGGUUUUCCAGGCAAAUCCGGAAAAUCAAGGCUGAGGCGUGAUGACGAGGCACUACGGUGCUGAAGCAACAAAUGCCCUGCUUCCAGGAAAAGCCUCUAAGCAUCAGGUAACAUCAAAUCGUACCCCAAACCGACACAGGUGGUCAGGUAGAGAAUACCAAGGCGCUUGAGAGAACUCGGGUGAAGGAACUAGGCAAAAUGGUGCCGUAACUUCGGGAGAAGGCACGCUGACACGUAGGUGAAGUGAUUUACUCACGGAGCUGAAGUCAGUCGAAGAUACCAGCUGGCUGCAACUGUUUAUUAAAAACACAGCACUGUGCAAACACGAAAGUGGACGUAUACGGUGUGACGCCUGCCCGGUGCCGGAAGGUUAAUUGAUGGGGUCAGCGCAAGCGAAGCUCCUGAUCGAAGCCCCGGUAAACGGCGGCCGUAACUAUAACGGUCCUAAGGUAGCGAAAUUCCUUGUCGGGUAAGUUCCGACCUGCACGAAUGGCGUAAUGAUGGCCAGGCUGUCUCCACCCGAGACUCAGUGAAAUUGAACUCGCUGUGAAGAUGCAGUGUACCCGCGGCAAGACGGAAAGACCCCGUGAACCUUUACUAUAGCUUGACACUGAACAUUGAGCCUUGAUGUGUAG
rnacentral:rRNA from 1 species